UGGGGAAUUUUGGACAAUGGGCGAAAGCCUGAUCCAGCAAUGCCGCGUGUGUGAAGAAGGCCUUUGGGUUGUAAAGCACUUUUGUCCGGAAAGAAAUCCUUGGCUCUAAUACAGUCGGGGGAUGACGGUACCGGAAGAAUAAGCACCGGCUAACUACGUGCCAGCAGCCGCGGUAAUACGUAGGGUGCAAGCGUUAAUCGGAAUUACUGGGCGUAAAGCGUGCGCAGGCGGUUUGCUAAGACCGAUGUGAAAUCCCCGGGCUCAACCUGGGAACUGCAUUGGUGACUGGCAGGCUAGAGUAUGGCAGAGGGGGGUAGAAUUCCACGUGUAGCAGUGAAAUGCGUAGAGAUGUGGAGGAAUACCGAUGGCGAAGGCAGCCCCCUGGGCCAAUACUGACGCUCAUGCACGAAAGCGUGGGGAGCAAAACAGGAUUAGAUACCCCUGGUAGUCCACGCCCUAAAACGAUGUCAACUAGUUGUUGGGGAUUCAUUUCCUUAGUAACGUAGCUAACGCGUGAAGUUGACCGCCUGGGGAGUACGGUCGCAAGAUUAAAACUCAAAUGAAUUGAC
rnacentral:rRNA from 1 species